rnacentral:snoRNA from 2 species
UACCUCACAGGGUCACACCUGGAGAGUUUCCAGCACUCUACCAGUCAUGAUUAUGGGAAGAAGAGUCAAGCAGAGGCAUAUCCAUUCCAUUACUAGCUUGGGGAGUGGCUAGCGAGUGGAAGACAAUCUGCUACAAUU